rnacentral:tRNA from 1 species
GCUGCGAUGGCCGAGUGGUUAAGGCGUUGGACUCGAAAUCCAAUGGGAUAUUCCCGCGCAGGUUCAAAUCCUGCUGUAGCG